UAACGACUCUCGGCAACGGAUAUCUCGGCUCUCGCAUCGAUGAAGAACGUAGCGAAAUGCGAUACUUGGUGUGAAUUGCAGAAUCCCGUGAACCAUCGAGUCUUUGAACGCAAGUUGCGCCCUAAGCUGUUAGGCCGAGGGCACGUCUGCCUGGGUGUCACG
rnacentral:rRNA from 5 species